GACGAACGCUGGCGGCGUGCCUAAUACAUGCAAGUAGAACGCUGAAGGAGGAGCUUGCUUCUCUGGAUGAGUUGCGAACGGGUGAGUAACGCGUAGGUAACCUGCCUGGUAGCGGAGGAUAACUAUUGGAAACGAUAGCUAAUACCGCAUAAUAGUAGAUGUUGCAUGACAUUUGCUUAAAAGGUGCAAUUGCAUCACUACCAGAUGGACCUGCGUUGUAUUAGCUAGUUGGUGGGGUAACGGCUCACCAAGGCGACGAUACAUAGCCGACCUGAGAGGGUGAUCGGCCACACUGGGACUGAGACACGGCCCAGACUCCUACGGGAGGCAGCAGUAGGGAAUCUUCGGCAAUGGACGGAAGUCUGACCGAGCAACGCCGCGUGAGUGAAGAAGGGUUUCGGAUCGUAAAGCUCUGCUGUAAGAGAAGAACGAGUGUGAGAGUGGAAAGUUCACACUGUGACGGUAUCUUACCAGAAAGGGACGGCUAACUACGUG
rnacentral:rRNA from 1 species